GAUGAACGCUGGCGGCGUGCCUAAUACAUGCAAGUCGAGCGAACAGACGAGGAGCUUGCUCCUUUGACGUUAGCGGCGGACGGGUGAGUAACACGUAGGUAACCUUCCUAUAAUACUGGGAUAACUUCGGGAAACCGGAGCUAAUACCGGAUAAUAUUUCGAACCGCAUGGUUCGAUAGUGAAAGAUGGCUUUGCUAUCACUUAUAGAUGGACCUGCGCCGUAUUAGCUAGUUGGUAAGGUAACGGCUUACCAAGUCAACGAUACGUAGCCGACCUGAGAGGGUGAUCGGCCACACUGGAACUGAGACACGGUCCAGACUCCUACGGGAGGCAGCAGUAGGGAAUCUUCCGCAAUGGGCGAAAGCCUGACGGAGCAACGCCGCGUGAGUGAUGAAGGUCUUCGGAUCGUAAAACUCUGUUAUUAGGGAAGAACAGACGUGUAAGUAACUGUGCACGUCUUGACGGUACCUAAUCAGAAAGCCACGGCUAACUACGUG
rnacentral:rRNA from 1 species